GGUUCUAUAGUGUAGCGGUCAUCACGUCUGCUUUACACGCAGAAGGUCCUGGGUUCAAUCCCCAGUGGAACCA
rnacentral:tRNA from 1 species